UGUAAAACCUGAACAGUUUGAAUAUUGGGUUGAUCGAAUUAAUAGAUGGAAAAAAAUUUAUCCUUUAAAUU
rnacentral:tRNA from 1 species